AUUGAACGCUGGCGGCAGGCCUAACACAUGCAAGUCGAGCGAGCGGCGGACGGGUGAGUAAUGUAUGGGGACUGCCCGAUAGAGGGGGAUAACUACUGGAAACGGUGGCUAAUACCGCAUACUAUCCGAUAACCCAUAUGGGAUUAGCUAGUAGGUGGGGUAAAGGCUCACCUAGGCGACGAUCUCUAGCUGGUCUGAGAGGAUGAUCAGCCACACUGGGACGGGGACACGGCCAGAACUCCUACGGAGGAAGAAGUGGGGAAUAUUGGACAAUGGGGGAAAGCCUGAUGCGGCCAGGCCGCGUGUAUAAAGAAGGCCUUAGGGUUGUAAAGUACUUUCAUCGGGGAGGCGUUACCCGCAGAAGAAGCACCGGCUAACUCCGUGCCAGCAGCCGCGGUAAUAC
rnacentral:rRNA from 1 species